UGGGGAAUUUUGGACAAUGGGCGAAAGCCUGAUCCAGCAAUGCCGCGUGUGUGAAGAAGGCCUUCGGGUUGUAAAGCACUUUUGUCCGGAAAGAAAUCCUUGGCUCUAAUACAGUCGGGGGAUGACGGUACCGGAAGAAUAAGCACCGGCUAACUACGUGCCAGCAGCCGCGGUAAUACGUAGGGUGCAAGCGUUAAUCGGAAUUACUGGGCGUAAAGCGUGCGCAGGCGGUUUGCUAAGACCGAUGUGAAAUCCCCGGGCUCAACCUGGGAACUGCAUUGGUGACUGGCAGGCUAGAGUAUGGCAGAGGGGGGUAGAAUUCCACGUGUAGCAGUGAAAUGCGUAGAGAUGUGGAGGAAUACCGAUGGCGAAGGCAGCCCCCUGGGGCCAAUACUGACGCUCAUGCACGAAAGCGUGGGGAGCAAACAGGAUUAGAUACCCUGGUAGUCCACGCCCUAAGCGAUGUCAACUAGUUGUUGGGGAUUCAUUUCCUUAGUAACGUACUAACGCGUGAAGUUGACCGCCUGGGGAGUACGGUCGCAAGAUUAAAACUCAAAGGAAUUGACGGGG
rnacentral:rRNA from 1 species